UUAUAUCAAAUUUCAAAUAUAUUUGUUUCAAAUUUUGAACCCUCGCCAUUUUUGUGCUCACAAUCUCUUCUCUAUUCUCUCUGCGCCGAUUAACCUGAAGCUUCUCUCGCCGACGAACAAAUGGAUGGACAUGAUGCAGAUAACACAAAGCAAAGCACCGCUGAUAUGACUGUAUUUGUACAGAAUUUGCUUCAACAAAUGCAAACCAGGUUUCAGACUAUGUCUGAAUCAAUCAUCUCAAAAAUAGAUGAUAUGGGAAACCGAAUUGAUGAAUUGGAGCAGAGCAUCAAUGAUUUGAGAAUUGAAAUGGGCCAAGAAGGUUCUUCAUCACCUUCGGCCGCACUGAAGUCAAAGGAUGACACAAAAUCUGCUGAUGAUUCUGCCUAAGACGAUGCAUCCAGGUGGUUUAUGUGGUGUUUGUUACGACUGUUUAUCUUUAAAAAAGAGUGUUAUCCUUUUCUUGGUUGUGUGCUAUGACAUCUGCUAUUGGUCAUCGAUGCGAUUAUCAAUUUAACAGUAACAUUAGCUUUGUUUUAGAUAUAAAUCAUAUGAUACAUUUAAAGGGUGUGUAACAAAG
rnacentral:misc_RNA from 1 species